rnacentral:rRNA from 1 species
UACGGGGGGGGCAAGCGUUGUUCGGAAUUACUGGGCGUAAAGGGCUCGUAGGCGGCCAACUAAGUCCGACGUGAAAUCCCCAGGCUUAACCUGGGAACUGCGUCGGAUACUGGAUGGCUUGAAUUCGGGAGAGGGAUGCAGAAUUCCAGGUGUAGCGGUGAAAUGCGUAGAUAUCAUCAGGAACACCGGAGGCGAAGGCGGCUCACUGGGGGUCUUCUGACGCUGAGGAACGAAAGCCAGGGGAGCGAACGGG